UACGUAGGGUGCGAGCGUUAAUCGGAAUUACUGGGCGUAAAGCGUGCGCAGGCGGUUCGUUAAGUCAGAUGUGAAAGCCCCGGGCUCAACCUGGGGAACUGCAUUUGAAACUGGCGGGCUUGAGUGUGGCAGAGGGGGGUGGGAAUCCGCGUGUAGCAGUGAAAUGCGUAGAGAUGCGGAGGAACACCGAUGGCGAAGGCAGCCCCCUGGGCCAACACUGACGCUCAGGCACGAAAGCGUGGGGAGCAAACAGG
rnacentral:rRNA from 1 species